CCUACGGGGGGCAGCAGUGGGGAAUCUUGGACAAUGGGGGCAACCCUGAUCCAGCCAUGCCGCGUGUGUGAAGAAGGCCUUAGGGUUGUAAAGCACUUUCAGCAGGGAGGAAGGCUUCGAGUUAAUAGCUUGGAGUACUUGACGUUACCUGCAGAAGAAGCACCGGCUAAUUUCGUGCCAGCAGCCGCGGUAAUACGAAAGGUGCGAGCGUUAAUCGGAAUUACUGGGCGUAAAGCGCGCGUAGGUGGUGUGUUAAGUCGGAUGUGAAAGCCCUGGGCUCAACCUGGGAAUUGCAUCCGAUACUGGCACGCUAGAGUGCAGUAGAGGGAGGUGGAAUUUCCGGUGUAGCGGUGAAAUGCGUAGAGAUCGGAAGGAACACCAGUGGCGAAGGCGGCCUCCUGGACUGACACU
rnacentral:rRNA from 1 species